GUCCGGCUCAGAGCUGUCAGCACAGAGCCGGACAUAGGGCUCGAACGCACGAACUCAGAGAACAUGACCUGAGCCCAAGUCAGAUGCCCCACCAGCGAAGCUACCCAGGUGCCCCCCCCCAGUAAUUCUCAAACCCAAAGCCAGUCUCUAGUUGAAAUUCACCCAUGAUCUGUCAAACUGAGUUGCUUCCCAAAAAACUUGUCAUUAAAUGUAAUUAAUAUGUGAUACGAACUUUGAAGCCAAAAAGAAUUUCAUCAAUGACAUGAGCAACUUCUUGGCCAAAUUGGAUCAUGGUUUUCCCAUAGGGCACAAAUACAGUUUUUCCUCCGUGUUUUCUGCCGGUUACAAUGUAAAGGAUACAGAGUUGACACAUUUUGGUCAAAAUCUUGGCAACAUUUUAAAUUAAACUACAUUGUUAAUUUUCUCCAUUACUUUCUUAAGUCUAGACUAGAGGUUGGGAGAUUUUUCCCGGAAGGGUCAAAUGGGAAAUAUUUUAGGCUUUGCCAGACACAUGUAGUGUCUGUCACAUAUUUUUUCUUUUGUUUUGUUUUUUUACCACCCUUUCAAAACAUGAAAGUUGUUCUUAGCUCCAGCAAAGGGCAGAUUCAACCUUCCAGCUCUGAACUGUAGCAUGUUCAGAUUUCCACAAUAUAAAUGUUUCUCUGAUGGCUGAUUUCAAGCGGCCAAUGUGGGGUGCCUGAACCAACAUGGAGUGUCAGAAUGAGGCUUGGGAACCCUCUUUCCAGCAUAUGGAUCCAAUAAAUGGAAGUAACCCAAGGCACGUAGGUCACGGUAGAAUAAUUGAGAAGUAACGUGUUUUGAGGCCUUGUUAUCAAGAGUACUGGUUUCACUGUAAACUUCUAUAAUUUAAUUUUUGAUAAUGUCUGUUUAACCGCAAGCCCACAGAAUUCCUGAAAAUUUAACAUUUGAUUCUCUUGCCCCAGCUCCGGCUCGCACGGGUGUCACCUCCAAGUGGAGAUGGGGUUGUGUAAGCUAGGCUUCUGGGUUGGUCCUGGAUGUUCAGUUUCUUCCCCCGGGUUCCACUUAGACGCCCCCAAGGUGACCCCCGGCGAGUCAGUGCCCUGUAUCAUCCCCUCCCCCUGAGUCUGAGCCCGACCCAUCAUGUGCUUCUGACCAGCAGAGUUUGCUGAGUGGGGUAAGCCCUCGUUCCCUUGACUGUGUCCCUUCACAUGUGAAGGAUGAUGGAUGUCACACCCAUCACGCCCACGAUCCCAUGAUGUCUGGAGACACAGUCUCCUGCCGGCCUUGCAGGAGCCACAGCCACGUGAACAGCCCUUGGAGAAGGCCCCGUGGCAGGUGACGGUGGGCCGCCUCCAGGACCUGAGGGUGGCCUCCAGCCAAUCGCCACAAAGAAGCUGGGGCCCUCGGUCGUGUGCUCACGAGGACACGCGUGUGCCAGCAGCCUGAAUGAGCCGGAAAGAGUGGAGCCUCCAGACGAGAGCAAAGCCCAGCCCCCACCUGGAUUACGCGGGAGACCCUGAGCCGUCGGCUCUGCCCACCCCUGACUCCUGCCCUGGGGAACCUGAGGUAUGGCGCAGACAACGGGAAGGAUGGGAGACACAUAGCAUCAUCACACUGGGAGAUCAAUAUGACGUCUCAACCCAAGAGGGCAGAUGCUCUUCUUGCCGAAAUAAUAAACCUGAGAAACAGAUGAUGUGGCUUGAUCUGUGACCAACCAGGCCUGAUCACUCCUCGAAGGUUAACAGAAUAAAAUGACUGGAAAUUAGUCAUUUGGCCUAAUACAUACUGUCAAAUAGCAGGGAAAUCCUACGAGGACAGUGAAAAAAAAAUACUUCUGCAGCCUUGCCAUUUGAUGCCACAUUGCGGAGCGAUCCCCUGUGAAGUGACUUCCGUCCAGGGCCACAAAACAAAACCAUCUAACCUUAAUCAUCACACCUUCCACCUUACGAGACGUGGGUUGUAAAUCUCCUUCAGGGCCUAUAUUUGCUGCUGUUGGCACGCCUUAACAGGAUAAACCGUAGAGGGGAGAUCCGAUCGGCAGGUAUUGCACAGCCGAGGGACGCCGGGCCGUGCACUUUUCACACGCAUCUCGUGGCCUCCCCACACCACGUCAUCCGCAAGGUACACGCACAAGAGAGGCUGCAUUUCAGCUGCUUCCAAUUACCGGAGCACCAACUGUGUCUAGCACAGCCACGCUUUUUUGUAAAUGGCUGGGAGUUAGGCCAGAAGUUAGACUUCUCGAAUUCCAUUUCCUUCUCUAAGAUACAAACGUCUUCACAGAUGUGGGAAGCUGCGUUUGUUUCUCCCUUUUCUCCCGCUUCGCAACGGGGACGCGGUGCUGUGCGUGGGGGGAGGAUGAGACCAGCAGCCCCCGCCCCCGUGGCGUGGAGUUGGUAAAGACCAGUUUCAUUUAGUCUCACGGCCUUUGGUUCCGAGUCUUCCCGCGAGCAGACCUCCGGGGAUCUCUGGUUGCGCUCCCACACUUGGGCCUGUGUUUUUAAACUUGAGUCCCGGUUAUAAUUUUAGGUUGAAACAGGAGAAAUUAGUGGCCGUUGAGCAGAUUUGACGAUUCUUGAGGGGCAGUAGGGCGCGUCAACCCAAUGCUGAAUAGCGUGACUGGGAUGUCGCUUUCCUGCCGGGCGCUGCCCGGAGCCCUUUACACACAUGACCCUCAUUUAGUCCGGAGGUUUACAGGAAGUGGGGAAACUGAGGCAUGGGGAGCCCCACGGUCACACAGGUAGUUAGUGCUGGAGUCACACCUGAAGCCUAAGGGGGUCUGGUUCCAGUGCCUGUCCCCACACCCACGGCGCCCGUGUGCCGUCGGCUCUGCUAACCUAGGGGCGGAAGCAUAUUGUCAUCUGUGUGGGUGACAAAGCGUUUUGUAGGAAGGACUAAGUGAGAGCUUUUGCUCCUGUAUUUUAUUUUACUUGAUUUUAUUUUUUUUUAAGUUUUUAUUUACUUUUUUUCUUGAGGUGGGGGGAGGGGCAAAGAGAGAGAG